rnacentral:lncRNA from 1 species
AAGAUAUUUUUCUCUAAUUAUCCUGCAUUUCUCGUACCUAAUCGAUCAAACAACAAUAAUAAUUGAACAAAUCUAGCCAUUUUUAAGAAUUUUCACACCAUAUAACAACUUUGAUUUACUUCAAAUAUCGGUGUUAAUCAUUCAUUGGCAUCAAGCAGGGACGUUGCUAGCUUUCAGCAUUGGGAGGAGAGGAUGGCUUAGACACAAAAAUUAUCAACACCGUUAUAAAUAUAUAUAUAUACAAUACAUUUUUGAGGGGGGCUUCAUUAAUUUAUGCGUGCUCAAGCCCCCAUGGCCUAGCAACGGCACUGGCAUCAAUUAUAUUCAAUGCAAGUGUUAAGUCUUUUUUCUGCUUAAAGCCAUUUGAUUGAGUUUUAUCAAGAUUCAUUGGAAAUUUGUGAAUUUUAUAUAAGCCCCAAAAUGGGUUCUCCUUCAAUUAUGAUGCAAGUCAUGACGUCAAUGAAGACGCUUUAUCCAUUUCUAUUUCUUUCAUAAUGGCAAUGAUUUUUUGCAGCCUUCAGUAUAAUUUGUGAUUUCUUUAAAGGAUUAAUUAGAAUUUAUUUUUAUUGAUUGCAAUCAACGAUCAUUAUUCGUCGAAAAAUACAAAUGUAACUUAGACUCCAUUUUGAAAAACAACUACUCGUGCUUGAUUUUGGGUUGAUGGAUCGCAUAUUACAUAGUGAUCAAAUAUAUUUAUUUUUAAAUAGAGAAAGACGCGCGUGCUUCUGUAUCAACACCUAUUGGUUGUGAUGUCAAAUAUGAGUUGAUAGCUGUUACAAAGUCAUGUUAGUCCUACUACAACCUAUUUAUUGCGUCAACAUAAUAAAAUCUUGUACACAAAUAAAGAAAAGAAGUUUUACUAGAGAUGUUAACGGAACAAAACGGUGACCACAACUAACGUCUCAAGCUCAAUCUUCCAAGACCUCCACUCUCAGAAAAAACAACCAAAGGAGAGUUCUACAUUACAUUUAUAAUGUUAAGUCACACAGGAG